rnacentral:misc_RNA from 1 species
CCCAUCAACGCCACCACCAUCAUUGUCGUCCUCUUCUCAGGUGUAUCAGCCAACAUGGAAACCAACAAAAAGAAAACAGAGAUCGGACACGCAUGCGUGUGACGGCAAGUAUAUGGGCAGCUGUCGCUGGCGUUGCGCGGUGCAUCCAGUCAGUCGGUGGGCCGGUGUAUUGCUGUGCGCAUGUGCGUGUGCGUGAUAGGCACGCCUCUCUUCUUUUCCUAUCCUUUCUUACUGUUCUUGCCGCCACGAAGUACACAGUCACCCACACAUACAUACAUACGCAUGCAUAUGUAUGUAUACAUAUAUAUGUGGGAGAGGGGUAUGCGCUUCUCUCUUUUACAUCUCUCCCACUCUGUCUUCGGGGUACGAGGGGAAGGGGGGGGGCUGUGCGCGCGUCAGAUGUGAUAAAGGAGAAUAAGGCAUGCUUGCUUCUGAGAGAGAGACGUGUGCCGGUCGCAGCUGUUGCGAUAUGCAUGUGUAGCUAAGCCUGUCUCAAGCUUGUCUGUGUGUAAGUGCAUCUGUGUAAGUGUAUGUGUGGCGGUGUAGUUGCUCUCGUGUUCCCACACACCCACCCACCCUCUUCCUCUCCUCCUCUAUAACCGCCACUGUUUAACGUGUGAUGCACCCCCGUCUGUUUUCCGUUUGUGUUGUGUGGUAAUUCCUCUUCACCCGCCGCCGCCGCCCUCCUACCUCCCCCUCAUCUACAUCGCUCAG